ACCGAUAGUGUGCCAGUUGUCGUGGCAAGGGCAUUGCUGGGUAGCUACGGCUGGCAGGGAUAACCGCUGAAAGCAUAUAAGCGGGAAGCUCGCCUAAAGAUUAGAUCCCUCAUCCGUAUGGAGUAAGACCGCUAGGAGACUACUAGCUUGAUAGGCGGCAUGUGUAAGUGCAGUAAUGUAUUUAGCUAAGCCGUACUAAUGGUCGAGGGCUUACGUUC
rnacentral:rRNA from 1 species